GUUAAAUCGACCGCCUGGGAGUACGGCCGCAAGGUUAAAACUCAAAUGAAUUGACGGGGGCCCGCACAAGCGGUGGAGCAUGUGGUUUAAUUCGAUGCAACGCGAAGAACCUUACCUACUCUUGACAUCCAGAGAACUUUCCAGAGAUGGAUUGGUGCCUUCGGGAACUCUGAGACAGGUGCUGCAUGGCUGUCGUCAGCUCGUGUUGUGAAAUGUUGGGUUAAGUCCCGCAACGAGCGCAACCCUUAUCCUUUGUUGCCAGCGGUUCGGCCGGGAACUCAAAGGAGACUGCCAGUGAUAAACUGGAGGAAGGUGGGGAUGACGUCAAGUCAUCAUGGCCCUUACGAGUAGGGCUACACACGUGCUACAAUGGCAUAUACAAAGAGAAGCGACCUCGCGAGAGCAAGCGGACCUCAUAAAGUAUGUCGUAGUCCGGAUUGGAGUCUGCAACUCGACUCCAUGAAGUCGGAAUCGCUAGUAAUCGUAGAUCAGAAUGCUACGGUGAAUACGUUCCCGGGCCUUGUACACACCGCCCGUCACACCAUGGGAGUGGGUUGCAAAAGAAGUAGGUAGCUUAACCUUCGGGAGGGCGCUUACCACUUUGUGAUUCAUGACUGGGGUGAAGUCGUAACAAGGUAACCAAGGGCGAAUUCCAG
rnacentral:rRNA from 1 species